UGGGGAAUAUUGGACAAUGGGGGCAACCCUGAUCCAGCAAUGCCGCGUGAGUGAUGAAGGCCUUAGGGUUGUAAAGCUCUUUUACCGGGGACGAUGAUGACGGUACCCGGAGAAUAAGCCCCGGCUAACUUCGUGCCAGCAGCCGCGGUAAUACGAAGGGGGCGAGCGUUGUUCGGAGUUACUGGGCGUAAAGGGCGCGUAGGCGGCGAUCCAAGUUAGGCGUGAAAGCCCCGGGCUUAACCUGGGAAUUGCGCUUAAGACUGGACUGCUUGAGUGCGGGAGAGGUGAGUGGAAUUCCCAGUGUAGAGGUGAAAUUCGUAGAUAUUGGGAAGAACACCAGUGGCGAAGGCGGCUCACUGGCCCGCAACUGACGCUGAGGCGCGAAAGCGUGGGGAGCAAACAG
rnacentral:rRNA from 1 species